AAUCAUCAACUCUAAAAGCUUUUGUGGUUUUUUUGAGCUUGGUCUUGAGGGUUUUUGUAGGCCUCACGGUCUGCUCCCUUUAAAUGCAUUAGCGAGACUUCCCUGUGCUGAACUGUCUCCUUGACGUGAUAAUUAUCUACGUUGAGUUUGGUUCUCGUUGGGCUUGCUUCUAAUCGUCCGAUAUUUGGACACACCAGGAAACCAAGUGCAAUAUAUGCGCCUAUUUCCAAACCUUU
rnacentral:misc_RNA from 1 species